rnacentral:rRNA from 1 species
GAUGAACGCUGGCGGCGUGCCUAAUACAUGCAAGUCGAACGCUGAAGGAAGGAGCUUGCUCUUUCCGGAUGAGUUGCGAACGGGUGAGUAACGCGUAGGUAACCUGCCUGGUAGCGGGGGAUAACUAUUGGAAACGAUAGCUAAUACCGCAUAACAGUAGAUGUUGCAUGAUAUCUACUUAAAAGGUGCAAUUGCACCACUACCAGAUGGACCUGCGUUGUAUUAGCUAGUUGGUGAGGUAACGGCUCACCAAGGCGACGAUACAUAGCCGACCUGAGAGGGUGGUCGGCCACACUGGGACGGAGACACGGCCCAGACGCCUACGGGAGGCAGCAGUAGGGAAUCUUCGGCAAUGGACGGAAGUCUGACCGAGCAACGCCGCGUGAGUGAAGAAGGUUUUCGGAUCGUAAAGCUCUGUUGUAAGAGAAGAACGAGUGUGAGAGUGGAAAGUUCACACUGUGACGGUAUCUGACCAGAAAGGGACGGCUAACUACGUG